UACAGAGGGUGCAAGCGUUAAUCGGAAUUACUGGGCGUAAAGCGUGCGUAGUCGGUUAUUUAAGUCGGAUGUGAAAUCCCCGGGCUCAACCUGGGAAUUGCAUUCGAUACUGGGUAGCUAGAGUUCGGCAGAGGGAAGCGGAAUUUCGGGUGUAGCGGUGAAAUGCGUAGAUAUCCGAAGGAACAUCAGUGGCGAAAGCGGCUUCCUGGACCAGAACUGACGAUCAGGCACGAAAAGCGUGGGGAGCAAACAGG
rnacentral:rRNA from 1 species